UACGUAGGCAGCGAGCGUUGUUCGGAAUUACUGGGCGUAAAGAGUGUGUAGGCGGUGCUCUAAGUUCGGUGUGAAAUCUCCUGGCUCAACUGGGAGGGUGCGCCGGAAACUGGAGUGCUUGAGCGUGGGAGAGGAAAGCGGAAUUCCUGGUGUAGCGGUGAAAUGCGUAGAUAUCAGGAGGAACACCAGUGGCGAAGGCGGCGACCUGGGCCAAUAUUGACGCUGAGGUGCGAAAGCGUGGGGAGCAAACAGG
rnacentral:rRNA from 1 species